rnacentral:sRNA from 1 species
AUGACAGUACUGGAAGCUUGUCUCUUUUUAUUCACAGUACAAGUAUAACCAUCGUGACAGUGAUGCAGGCUCCUCCACACUGCCAGCCAAUGAGCCUUUAGAAAGGAUCAUCUUUAGGAACAAGAAGGUAAUUUUCAUGCCUAUUCAGUCUUCAGCUUCU